rnacentral:rRNA from 1 species
CAACUUUCAACAACGGAUCUCUUGGUUCUGGCAUCGAUGAAGAACGCAGCGAAAUGCGAUACGUAGUGUGAAUUGCAGAAUUCAGUGAAUCAUCGAAUCUUUGAACGCACAUUGCGCCCUUUGGUAUUCCAAAGGGCAUGCCUGUUCGAGCGUCAA